rnacentral:rRNA from 1 species
AUUGAACGCUGGCGGCAGGCUUAACACAUGCAAGUCGAGCGGAGCGAGGGUGCUUGCACCUUAGCUUAGCGGCGGACGGGUGAGUAAUGCUUAGGAAUCUGCCUAUUAGUGGGGGACAACAUUCCGAAAGGGAUGCUAAUACCGCAUACGCCCUACGGGGGAAAGCAGGGGAUCUUCGGACCUUGCGCUAAUAGGUGAGCCUAAGUCGGAUUAGCUAGUUGGUGGGGUAAAGGCCUACCAAGGCGACGAUCUGUAGCGGGUCUGAGAGGAUGAUCCGCCACACUGGGACUGAGACACGGCCCAGACUCCUACGGGAGGCAGCAGUGGGGAAUAUUGGACAAUGGGCGGAAGCCUGAUCCAGCCAUGCCGCGUGUGUGAAGAAGGCCUUUUGGUUGUAAAGCACUUUAAGCGAGGAGGAGGCUACUAGUAUUAAUACUACUGGAUAGUGGACGUUACUCGCAGAAUAAGCACCGGCUAACUCUGUGCCAGCCGCCGCUGUAAUAC